UGGAUCAAUGAUAUGGGUGUGUCAUAAACCAAAGCUUAUUAUUGAUCCAGUGCUGAGUACCUGAGGUCAAAA
rnacentral:snoRNA from 1 species